rnacentral:rRNA from 1 species
AUUGAACGCUGGCGGCAGGCCUAACACAUGCAAGUCGAGCGGAGCGGCGGACGGGUGAGUAAUGUCUGGGAAACUGCCUGAUGGAGGGGGCUAACUACUGGAAACGGUAGCUAAUACCGCAUCCCAUUAAAUGUGCUUAGGUCGGAUUAGCUAGUUGGUGGGGUAACGGCCUACCAAGGCGACGAUCCGUAACUGGUCUGAGAGGAUGAUCAGUCACACUGGAACUGAGACACGGUCCAGACUCCUACGGGAGGCAGCAGUGGGGAAUAUUGGACAAUGGGCGAAAGCCUGAUCCAGCCAUGCCGCGUGUGUGAAGAAGGUCUUCGGAUUGUAAAGCACUUUAAGUUGGGAGGCGUUACCAACAGAAUAAGCACCGGCUAACUUCGUGCCAGCAGCCGCGGUAAUAC